GCCGGGCUAGCUCAAUUGGAAGAGCGUUCGCUUUACUCUACUUAGAUUGAAUGGUUGCAAGUUCGAACCUUGCGCUUGGCC